UUAAUAUAAUGGUCUGUCGACACUUUUUCUCAUAUAAUUCGCAAGAGAAAGAGAGCACAUAGUUUGAAAACGCCUUAAAGUGAAAGUGGAAAAGUUUGUUUGAAAAUGCUCUUUUGGAUUAGAUUUUUCAAUAUAUGGUGUUUAUCUUCAGUCAUCUUUAUUAAAGGCAAUGUACAACUCCAAGCUCGUAUUGCGUCACUGCCCUCAAACUAUAUUUUGAGAAACAUCAGCGCCUCAGAGAUUAACAAAUGUCUGGAGAAGUGUCUACAAGACUGCUCAUGUUUAUCAUUUCAAAUUUGUGAUUCUACCUGCCAACUUCUUUCCACUACGAUAACAGACGAACUAAGUAACAAAGAUGAGAAACGACAAUGUCAGCAUUUCACAAUGAACAUAGCAAACCAACAUGAGUGUCGAUCAAACUACUAUCAACAAAGCUGCUUUGUUGUAAUAGAUUGCUGUCUUACUUCAACUUACUGCUAUAACGAUGGAAAAUGUCGUAAAUCAAAGUCACCCCUAAGUAAGACACGUGCUUCAUGUGAGUGUAAAGAGGGAUUUGUUGGUGAACGUUGUGAAAAGAAAGCAAAGUCUUGUCAAAGUUAUCGUGAUCUUUCUGAUGGCUGGUACAAAAUAUUUACAAAUGAU